CUACGGGAGGCAGCAGUGGGGAAUAUUGGGCAAUGGGGGCAACCCUGACCCAGCGACGCCGCGUGGGCGAAGACGGUCUUCGGAUUGUAAAGCCCUUUUCUGCGUGAAGAGGAAGGACGGUAGUGCAGGAAUAAGUCACGGCUAACUACGUGCCAGCAGCCGCGGUAAUACGUAGGUGGCGAACGUUAUCCGGAAUCACUGGGCGUAAAGGGUCCGCAGGUGGCAUGUCAAGUCGAUUGUGAAAGCUCCCGGCUCAACUGGGAGAGGACGGUCGAAACUGGCAAACUAGAGUCCGACAGAGGUCGGCGGAAUUCCCGGUGUAGUGGUGGAAUGCGUAGAUAUCGGGAGGAACGCCAAAAGCGAAAGCAGCCGGCUGGGUCGAGACUGACACUGAGGGACGAAAGCGUGGGUAGCGAACAGGAUUAGAAACCCGGGUAGUCC
rnacentral:rRNA from 1 species